ACUACGGGAGGCUGCAGUGGGGAAUAUUGCACAAUGGGCGAAAGCCUGAUGCAGCAACGCCGCGUGAAGGAAGAAGGGUUUCGGCUCGUAAACUUCUAUCAACAGGGACGAAAGAAAUGACGGUACCUGAAUAAGAAGCCCCGGCUAACUACGUGCCAGCAGCCGCGGUAAUACGUAGGGGGCAAGCGUUAUCCGGAAUUACUGGGUGUAAAGGGUGAGUAGGCGGCAUGGUAAGCCAGAUGGGAAAGCCUUGGGGUUAACCCGAGGAUGUGAUUUGGACCUAUCAAGCUAGAGUACAGGAGAGGAAAGCGGAAUUCCUAGUGUAGCGGUGAAAUGCGUAGAUAAUAGGAAGAACCCCAGUGGCGAAGGCGGCUUUCUGGACUGAAACUGACGCUGAGGCACGAAAGCGUGGGGAGCGAACAGGAUUAGAUACCCCUGGUAGUC
rnacentral:rRNA from 1 species